GAUGAAGAACGUAGCGAAAUGCGAUACGUAAUGUGAAUUGCAGAAUUCAGUGAAUCAUCGAAUCUUUGAACGCAUAUUGCGCUCUUUGGUAUUCCGAAGAGCAUGCUUGUUUGAGUAUCAGUAAACACCUCAAAGACUUCAAUUUGUUUUGAAUGGCUUUGGACUUGAGCAAUCCCAACACCAGUCUUUACGAUCGGUGGAGGGUUGCUUGAAAUGCAGGUGCAGCUGGACAUUCUCCUGAGCUAAAAGCAUAUUUAUUUAGUCCCGUCAAACGGAUUAUUACUUUUGCUGCAGCUAACAUAAAGGGAGUUUGACCGUAUUGGCUGACUGAUGCAGGAUUUCACAAGGGUCGGCAACGAUUCUUGAAAAACUCGAUCUCAAAUCAAGUAAGACUACCCGCUGAACUUAAGCAUAUCAAUAAGCGGAGGA
rnacentral:misc_RNA from 1 species